GACGAACCGUGCAAACGUUGUUCGGAAUCACUGGGCUUAAAGGGCGCGUAGGCGGGCAAGCAAGUCGAAGGUGAAAUCCCACGGCUCAACCGUGGAAGUGCCCCCGAUACUGCUUGUCUUGAGGGAGAUAGGGCGUGCGGAACUUCCGGUGGAGCGGUGAAAUGCGUAGAUAUCGGAAGGAACACCGGUGGCGAAAGCGGCGCGCUGGAUCUCUUCUGACGCUGAGGCGCGAAAGCCAGGGGAGCAAAGCGGG
rnacentral:rRNA from 1 species